rnacentral:tRNA from 1 species
CGGGGCGUAGCUCAGUCUGGCUAGAGCACCUGCUUUGGGAGCAGGGGGUCGCAAGUUCGAAUCCUGUCGCCCCGACCA